ensembl:rRNA 5S_rRNA 5S ribosomal RNA
GUCUACGGCCAUACCACCCUGAACACACUGAAUCUCUUCUGAUCUCAGAAGCUAAGCAGGGUCGAGCCUGGUUAAUACUUGGAUGGGAGACCGCCUGGGAAUACCGGGUGCUGUAGGCU